rnacentral:RNase_P_RNA from 1 species
AGCGGGCCAGACGGCCGCGCGUCCAUCGGCGCGAGGAAAGUCCGGGCUCCGCAGGGCAGGAUGCCAGCUAACGGCUGGGCGGGGCGACCCGACGGAAAGUGCCGCAGAAAAGAAGACUCCCCCGGCGCCGCGCGCGACGGGAGAAAAGCUGAAACGGUGCGGUAAGAGCGCACCAGCGCGUCGGCAACGGCGCGGCUUGGCAAACCCCAUCCGGAGCAAGCGCAAAUAGGAACGCUAUGCGGCGGCCCGUCGCGCGUUCGGGUUGCGUGCUGGAGGCGCCUGGCGACAGGCGCUCGAGAUAAAUGGCCGUCCAACGACAGAACCCGGCUUAUCGACCCGCUCG